AUAGAUAAUCUUUAGAAUCUUUUGGUUUUGUUUAUUUGAAAUAGUUUUUGAUAGUCGAUUGAUCCUGCUCUUUAAUCUUCUUAAGUUCAUUGUUUGGGUUUCUUGGUCAAUCAUUAAGAACAAGAAGAUAGAAUGAAUCAGAAUAAAUUUUUUGGGGGUUUUCCCCUUCUAUCGUAGGGAGGGUUUGAUGAAUAUUUCUGAAAAUAGUUGAGAGAUGUGUCUUGUUUCGUAAUGCUUUGUUAGAUGGCUUAUCUGUUCCAUAUAAAUAUAUUAUUUUUUGAAUUUGUUCAUCUACAAACGUGUUUUCUUUCUGGGUUUCUCUAGAUGAGCAAUUCCAAGUUAUUUUUAUGUGCUUUGUUGUAGGAGUAGAAAUAAAGGGAUAUCACAUAUAUGUAAAAGUUAUUUUUCUUCAAUGAUAUAGGUUCAGUGAUUAUCUCCACUAACCUGUUUAUUUUGUGGAUAUUAUAUAUACCUUACAGGAGACAGAUUGGAGGCUGACUAAUGAUGAUGAUUUUGAAGUAUCUUUGUUUCCAUAUUGGUCUUUAUGUGCAUGUUUUCUCUCUUUUAUUGCAGUGUAAUGAUUCUGUUCUUGAAAUCUGAGAUUAUUAACAACCUUUUGAUUGUGAAUCUUAAGAUCAUCUCAUUGAGUCAUAUUUUGUCUCUAUUUUUACAUGUUUCAGAUCUAGAUUAUCUGUUUAUAACAGUGUGUAAUGAAGUCUAAAUUAUUAACUACUGAUUUGAACUUAACUUCUCUUUCUUUUCCCUUAUUAUGCAAGCUUUUGUGUGGUAACCUUUUUAUAGUUUCCAGUUAAAUGUUUUUCCUUUUCGAGUUCUUUCUGUGUUGCUCAUAUAUGUUUGUAGACUAUUUUCACGUGUUUAGGUUAUUAAUUAUCUUUAUUUUGUUGGCUAAGCUUUUAAUGUAUUCUGUUGUUGUUUAAAAGAUAAAGGGACAUCAGUGUCACUUGUAGUUUUUACUAGUUUCCAGUUAAAUGCUUAUAUGAAUCAUGAGUAGUGUGGUCAGGAAUUUCUUUCUUUGAUGCUAUGGUUUUUUUUCCAACUGAUUGUGUGUUCUACACUAUUUAAUUAGUACCAUAUUCAUGCUAUGGAAUGUAUAUUUAGUGUUUCUUUUUGGCUUAAUGGGUUAAGCACUUAAUCUGGAGAGCUAUAUGACUGUUUCUAUUUUGAAUCUUAUGAUGACUAAAUGUUUUUUACUCAUAUUUAGUUCUCAUCAAGUCUUCAUUCAGACCCUCGAUUCAUAGCAGUGAGUGUAGAUUGUGUGCCUUUUGAAUAUUAAUAUUAAGAGCAUCACAUUCUUUUUCUACAGUUCCUAUGGUGGCAACAAAUGCAUGUAUGGAUCCAAAGAUUCAAUUCUUUGUUUAUCAUAUGUUGUUUUUCAUCUGUCACUUGUCUUGUUCUUGGUUCUUCUUUGAUGGGUUUAUUUGAAGGGUUUUGAUUUUUGAAUGACAGAGGUUCCUUAUACAAUUCUUUCCAACUUGAAAAUUAAGGUCAUUGAGUUUCUUGGUUAUCGGGUUCUUUUUUUUUUCGUCAUGUUCUUCAUUUUAUACAGAGAUAUCAGUAUGGCUUAUAUAACAAAUAUUUUUCUUUAAUGAUUAUCUCCAUUAACUUGUUUAUUUUGUGGAUAUAUACCUUACAGGAUAACUAAUGAUGAUGAUUUUGAAGUAUCAUCUUUUCUAUAAUGGUCUUUAUGUGUUUCCUUUUUUAUUUUUUUGGUUUCUGGUUGAAAGUUGGGGAGUUCUCUUCCAUUUUGGUGAGAUGUUUUCUCAAUGUGGAUAUUCCAUUCAAGUAGGUGUCUGAUUUCAGCUCUUUCUUUCUCUCUUUUAUUGCAGUGCAAUGAUCCUGUUCUUAGAAUCUAAGAUCCUCUCAUCUUUUUUUUUUUCUUUUUUUUUUUCUAUAGUUGCUAUGAUGACACCAAAUGUACAUCUGUUUACUUAGAUUCAGUUCUUUUCAAUUCUUGCAUGCUGGUAAAUUACAAUUGAGUUAGGUUGUCCUUUCUUAUUAGUAAGUAACCUUUUGAUUUGACCUUAAAUUCACUUGUUUCCCUUCUUUUUUGGGUCUCUUUAUAAGGUUUUAUGUGCUCACCUUUUUUUUUUUUUUUUGCAGUUGCUAUAGAGGCCCCACCCAAAGUCAAUGGAUGUUUACUCAGAAUCCAUUCCUGUGAUGGUGGCUAUUUGCAGGAAGGACAUUAUGUUCAAAACAACUCGACUAAUAGCCUGAAUAUGAUGUCCCUCUUGUAGACUAUUUUCAUGUGUUUAGGUACCACUUUCAGUUGUGAUGAUGCAUGGUGACACAAAAUGCAUGUACGUUUACUCACUCAGAUUCAGUUCUUGUCAACUCCUGUACGUUGCUAAGUUGCAAUCUAGAGGGAAAUUGUCAGAAAAGUCCCAAUAUUUUCGGAAAAGUUACAUUUUAGUCCCAAUUUAUUUUUUUUGAACAGACAAGUCCCGGUUAGUUGAUUUUACAUGGUAAUAUGUCAUUUCCUGUUAAAAGAAAAAAAGGACUUUUUUGUUAAUUUGAGCCAAAAUGAAAUAAUCGGGGCUUUUAUGUUAAAAAAAAUUAGGACUUAACUGUAACGUUUCCGUAAAUAUUGGGACUUUUCUGACAAUUUCCCUCUAGAUUAUUAAUCUUUUUGUUUAUGAAUCAUAAGAUCAUAUUAAUGUCAAAAUUUUCUACUCAUAUUUAGUUAUUUGAAGCUAUGGAUAUGGUGAUUUUUCUGAUGCUCUCUCUGUAUGUGGAUAUAUACCUUACAGGAGACAGAUGGGAGUCUGACUAAAUCUAAUGAAUUUAAAGCAUCUUCUUUUCUAUAAUGGUCUUAAUUUGUUUUGCUUUUUUGGGUUUCUGGUUGAAAGUUGUGGAGCACAAGCAUGAGACUUCUCCUUCCAUUAUGGUGGGAUAUUUUCUCAAUGUGGAUGUGUCUGAUUUCAGCUCUCUUUCUCUCCUUUAUUGCAGUGUACUGAUUCUGUUAUUGAAUCAUAAGAUCAUCUGAGCUUUUCAUAUA